rnacentral:rRNA from 1 species
GGUGAACGCUGGCGGCGUGCCUAAUACAUGCAAGUCGAGCGAACAGACGAGGAGCUUGCUCCUCUGACGUUAGCGGCGGACGGGUGAGUAACACGUGGAUAACCUACCUAUAAGACUGGGAUAACUUCGGGAAACCGGAGCUAAUACCGGAUAAUAUAUUGAACCGCAUGGUUCAAUAGUGAAAGACGGUUUUGCUGUCACUUAUAGAUGGAUCCGCGCCGGAUUAGCUAGUUGGUAAGGUAACGGCUUACCAAGGCAACGAUGCGUAGCCGACCUGAGAGGGUGAUCGGCCACACUGGAACUGAGACACGGUCCAGACUCCUACGGGAGGCAGCAGUAGGGAAUAUUCCGCAAUGGGCGAAAGCUUGACGGAGCAACGCCGCGUGAGUGAUGAAGGUCUUCGGAUCGUAAAACUCUGUUAUUAGGGAAGAACAAAAGUGUAAGAAACUAUGCACGUUUUGACGGUACCUAAUCAGAAAGCAACGGCUAACUACGUG